GGGGAAUUUUCCGCAAUGGGCGCAAGCCUGACGGAGCAAGACCGCGUGCGGGAGGACGGCCUAUUGGUUGUAAACCGCUUUUGAUAGGGAAGAAGUUCUGACGGUACCUAUCGAAUCAGCAUCGGCUAACUCCGUGCCAGCAGCCGCGGUAAUACGGAGGAUGCAAGCGUUAUCCGGAAUUAUUGGGCGUAAAGCGUCCGUAGGUGGUUGUUCAAGUCUGCUGUUAAAGCGUGCGGCUUAACCGCA
rnacentral:rRNA from 1 species